rnacentral:misc_RNA from 1 species
UAUGAAGAACGUAGCGAAAUGCGAUAAGUAAUGUGAAUUGCAGAAUCCAGUGAAUCAUCGAAUCUUUGAACGCACAUUGCGCCCGCCAGCAUUCUGGCGGGCAUGCCUGUUCGAGCGUCAUUUCAACCCUCGACCUCCCUUUGGGGAAGUCGGCGUUGGGGACCGGCAGCACACCGCCGGCCCUGAAAUGGAGUGGCGGCCCGUCCGCGGCGACCUCUGCGUAGUAAACCAACUCGCACCGGAACCCCGACGUGGCCACGCCGUAAAACACCCAACUUCUGAACGUUGACCUCGAAUCAGGUAGGACUACCCGCUGAACUUAAGCAUAUCAAUAAGCGAGGA